rnacentral:ncRNA from 1 species
UGUCGGAGUGCUUAUUUUCCACAACAGCAUGAGUGGAAAAGGCUGAGACCGUUAAUUCGGGAUCCGCGGAACCUGAUCAGGCUAAUACCUGCGAAGGGAACAAGAGUAA